AUGGCCAACGGGAGCCUUGAAGACCGACUUCACAACCACCAGUGUGGUGGUUUGAGUUUAGGCGCAGUGAUCUGCAUAUCAGUUGACAUUGCUUGUGCUCUUGAAUACCUACAUAACCAGUGCAUCCCACCGGUUGUUCACUGCGACCUAAAACCAAGCAACAUACUUUUCGACAAUGAUGAUACUGCACGUGUCUGCGACUUUGGUCUGGCAAAGCUAAUUCAUGGGUGUUCAUCUGGAGGGCAGAGCGACACAACAAGCAUAGUUGGACCAAGGGGAUCUAUUGGGUACAUACCUCCUGAGUAUGGCACGGGCAGUGAAAUCUCAACCGAGGGUGACGUCUACAGCUAUGGCAUUGUUCUUUUGGAAAUGCUUACACGGAAACGGCCUACCAAUGAAGAGUUUAUUGAUGGCUUGACGCUCCACAAGUAUGCAGAUGCAUCACUUUCACUUUCACGAACCCAAGACAUUCUUCACCCCAGUCUUACUUUAGAGACGGGAGAUCAGUGUGUCGGUCAUAUCCCAAACUUGCAAGAGCACAACACAUUUGCACUAAAGGAUAUGUGUACUCUCCGGCUCCUUAGACUUGGCUUAUUAUGCUCCGCGAAAUCCCCGAAGGAUCGCCCAGGGAUGCAUGAUGUCUACGGUGAAGUAACUGAAGUAAAAGAGGCAUUUUUCUCUAUUGACAACUGA
rnacentral:rRNA from 1 species